CACGGGGGGAGCAAGCGUUGUUCGGAAUCACUGGGCGUAAAGGGCGUCUAGGCGGUCAGAUAAGUGGAAUGUGAAAUCCCUCGGCUUACCCGAGGACCUGCAUCCCAAACUGUCUGGCUUGAGUAUGGGAGAGGAUGAGGGAAUUCCUGGUGUAGCGGCGAAAUGCGUAGAUAUCAGGAGGAACACCGGUGGCGAAAGCGCUCAUCUGGCCCAAUACUGACGCUGAAGCUCGAAAGCUAGGGGAGCAAACAGG
rnacentral:rRNA from 1 species